rnacentral:tRNA from 1 species
GCAUCGGCGGUUCAGUGGUAGAAUGCUCGCCUCCCAUACGAGCGGCCCGGGCUCGAUUUCUAGCCGGUGUA